CCUGUCUUGGUGCUUUUGUGCAGUGUGCAAACUGCACAACAGUACUUGGAGGCCCUGCGGGGGCCUUGUUUGUUUCCCUCUGCCUGGGGUAAGGCUGUGUCCUGCAUCUCAGUUCUGAGCCAAUCAAUCUUUCCUUUAGAGACCUGCUGGGGAAAAUUCUAGGUUUGAUCCAAGUGUGGCAACAGAAUCUCUGUAGGGUGGAAAUGCAAUGCAUUUGGCCAGGUCUGGUGAAGUGUUUGGUUCAGUUUGCUUUUUGGUUUAUCUUUAGCUUCCAAGACAGUCUCAUCUGUGUCGUGUUCCCUAAGAGAGACCCUCCAGAUGCUGGGAAGGCAGAAGGGCCAUUUAGAGGUAGUGGGUGCAGCUGACAGGACCCUCAAUGGGGAGGAGGCAGAGGAGGCCUUGGUGGGCCUGUGGCGGGGGGGCCUGGGGCAGGGGAGGCGGGGGCAGGCACUGCCCUCCGUGGUUGGCAGCCGGCCAGGCCCUGGGGCUGCAGGCUUAGGUCCAGAGUUCAGAGGCAGCACUACAGGUGACAUACACGUAGUUUCGCCAAAAGCCUGGGGCUUGCAUGGCUGCUCUGCGGCUCUGCUCAUCAGCUUGUGAAAGGCUUCUCACGUGGCUUGCGAGCUCUUGAUGGUCGUCUCCCAGCCUCCAGCAGGCGGGGACCGCCUGGCAGCAAGAAGAGUGUGGCCUUCCGUCAGAACCAGAAAACCGCCAAUUAGGGAGAGGCCUCCCCUUGGCUCUCUCUCCCUGCAUCUCUAAGAACCUCCAGGUGACCUUCUGGCCCAGCUGGCCCAGCUGCAUCCAUGGAGAAGAGGUGUGGGAAUCUGCAGCCUUCACGUCACACUGGAAUUCAACACAUGCCGCUUUUCCCAGGAAAAGUCAUAUUUGGUUUCGGUUCAUAAUAUAUUGAGUUCGUGUAAUGGGAACACCCAUGCUCUUUGGUGGCCAGAGUCAGAGGCUUGGAAGUACAUUUUGAGGAGCGGCCAGAGGGAGGAGGAGGGGACCAGGGGAACCCCAUCUUUUUUUUUUUUUUUCUGCUUUUUAGGGCUGCAUCUGCAGCAUUUGGAAGUUCCCAGGCCAGGGGUAGAAUUCAGGCUGCAGCUGCUGGCCUGCACCACAGCCACAGCAAUGUAGGAUCUGAGCCACGUCUGUGACCUACAUCACAGCUCAUGGCAAUGCCAGAUCCUUAACCCACUGAGCGGUGCCAGAGAUCAAACCCACAACCUCACGGAUCCUAGUCAGGUUCGUCAACUACUGAGCCAUGAAGGGAACUCCUAAGAACCCCAUCUUGACUGUAGUAACAGACACAGAAAUACUCUAGAGUGGGCUGGCUACACUUACUAGGAAAUAAGUGGCCAUAAAUCAUCAUUAGUGUGACAAAGGACAGAGGCUCAUGUCACUGUGGCUGGUAGGUCAGGAGAAGACAGAACAAUAAGGUCCUUCUCUGGGCCCAGGCCCAGAAGUGGGUCCCCUGGGAGAACAUGUGUGCCAGAAGGAAGGACUGGUCUGGGCAUUCCGGGUGGCCACCAGACAUGGAACUUACCUGUGGCGGGAGAGAGAGACGCUCCUACCUGUGGCCUGGAGGCUGGACACGCCUUCCAGCUCAGAUGCGGGUGCUGGGCCAUCCUCAAUCCCAGGGCUCCCGUCCUGGUCCCAGCUGGACCCAGGAGAGCUACCUGAGGAGUCUUUCUUCCAGCUUUCUCAGCCUGUGAAUGUGUCUCAGUCCCUCUGGGAAAGCAGGCUCUAUGCCAGGUACUGGGAACAGAGCAGGAAACAAAGCAAAUGCCAGGAGCAGACCCUAAACAAGAGUGAUGCAUAUUAAGAAGAGGUAGAGGGGAGUUCCCAUUGUGGCGCAGUGGUUAACAAACCCGACUAGGGACCAUGAGGUUGCGGGUUUGAUCCCUGGCCUUGCUCAGUGGGUUAAGGAUCCAGCGUGGCUGUAAGUUGUGGUGUAGGUCACAGACGUGGCUCAGAUCCUGUGUGGCUGUGGCUGUGGUGUAGCCCGGUGGCUACAGCUCCGGUUAGACCCCUAGCCUGGGAACCUCCAUAUGCUGCUGGUGCAGCCCUAAAAAGACAAAAAAAAAAAAAGAAGAGGUAGAGGCUGUUGGGGAUCAAGAGAGCCUCUCUGAAGACAGUAAACAGAAAUCGGAAAAAGCAGAAGAGGAGGGUAGGGUCAGGGAGGGUCAACGAGGGUCAGGGCGGGUCAGGGAGGGUCACAGAGAAGCAGGGCAGCAGUGGCAUGAGCCGGCCAGGGCCCAGCCCAAAAGCGUCUGGAGAGGGAGGUGUUUUUUUUUUUUUUUUUUUUUUUUUUUUGUCUUUUGUCUUUUUUGUUGUUGUUUUGUUGUUGUUGUUGUUGUUGUUGCUAUUUCUUGGGCCCCUCCUGCGGCAUAUGGAGGUUCCCAGGCUAGGGGUCCAAUCGGAGCUGUAGCCACCGGCCUACGCCAGAGCCACAGCAAUGCGGGAUCCGAGCCGCGUCUGCAACCUACACCACAGCUCACGGCAACGCCGGAUCGUUAACCCACUGAGCAAGGGCAGGGACCGAACCCGCAACCUCAUGGUUCCUAGUCGGAUUCGUUAACCACUGCGCCACGACGGGAACUCCGGGAGGCGUGUUUUAAAAGGAGUAAAUCAACUAUCCUUCAAUAAAACUUUAAAAAAUGGAAAAAAAAAAAAAAAA
rnacentral:lncRNA from 1 species